rnacentral:rRNA from 1 species
UGGGGAAUAUUGGACAAUGGGGGCAACCCUGAUCCAGCAAUGCCGCGUGAGUGAUGAAGGCCUUAGGGUUGUAAAGCUCUUUCGGCGGGGACGAUGAUGACGGUACCCGCAGAAGAAGCCCCGGCUAACUCCGUGCCAGCAGCCGCGGUAAUACGGAGGGGGCUAGCGUUGUUCGGAAUUACUGGGCGUAAAGGGCGCGCAGGCGGCUGCUCAAGUCAGGCGUGAAAGGCCUGGGCUCAACCCGGGAAUUGCGCUUGAGACUGAGCUGGCUUGAGUGCGGGAGAGGAUGGUGGAAUUCCCAGUGUAGAGGUGAAAUUCGUAGAUAUUGGGAAGAACACCGGUGGCGAAGGCGGCCAUCUGGACCGUAACUGACGCUGAGGCGCGAAAGCGUGGGGAGCAA